CUACGUAGGGGGCGAGCGUUGUCCGGAAUGAUUGGGCGUAAAGGGCGCGUAGGCGGCCCGGUAAGUCUGGAGUGAAAGUCCUGUUUUUAAGAUGGGAAUUGCUUUGGAUACUGUCGGGCUUGAGUGCAGGAGAGGUAAGUGGAAUUCCCAGUGUAGCGGUGAAAUGCGUAGAGAUUGGGAGGAACACCAGUGGCGAAGGCGACUUACUGGACUGUAACUGACGCUGAGGCGCGAAAGUGUGGGGAGCAAACAGGAUUAGAUACCCUGGUAGUCCACACUGUAAACGAUGAAUGCUAGGUGUAAGAGGUAUCGACCCCUUUUGUGCCGGAGUUAACACAAUAAGCAUUCCGCCUGGGGAGUACGGCCGCAAGGUUGAAACUCAAAGGAAUUGACGGGG
rnacentral:rRNA from 1 species